AGUAACAAUCAUUUUGACCUCAAUAAUCAACACUGGAAUAUUAUGAUCCCCACAAAUCCCAUUUUCUAAAUCAUAUCCCAAACAAUUCCAAGUUUGAUAUCCCUUCAUAUAACCUCCAAUAAAUCACCUACUUCCUCACCACGGCCUUUGCCCUUUUAUUGUUAAUAAUGUAACUCGGAGACUGAUGCACCAUCACAUAAAAACUCACAUUUCUCCCAAUUUGCUUCCUGUCCCGUUAUAAAUCCAAAUCCAAACUCAUAAAGACUGGAAGGCUGACUGACGUUCACAUAAACUAAUCACCUUCCGAGUUCCCAUUUGAGCGACAGGCACUGCAGCCAAUGACAGCAGGGGUCAGUGUUACGUCUGAGCUACGAUAGGCUGGAGGAAAUCGGCCCAUGACCAGCCCCUCCUCUUCCGCUCCAUCGCCAUGGCGGAGAUCAGCGAGUCGCUUCUGUCGGUGUCGCCGGCCUCGGCGCCCACAAGGACGGUUGUGAUUCCCCUUUGCGCCUCGGUGGGUCUGUUUCGGGGACGUCUGUGGUGGCUGACGAAACAUGCUUUGACAGGGAGCGAGCGAGGGACAAUGACUACAACUCCCAGAAGGCCCCACUGAUGACGUUGUGGUGUUGUUCAGGGCUUUCCCACCACAGAUGUAAGGCUCAAUGGUCUAUAAUUAUCGGGACUAUCCCUACUACCCUUUUUGAACAAGGGGACAACAUUCGCCUCCCUCCAAUACUCCGGUACAAUUUCCGUGGACAAUGAGGACAUAAUGAUCUUCGCCAGAGGCUCAGCAAUCUAUUUCCUUUCCUUGGAUGCAGAACUGGGAAGCGCAGAUGGAGUUCAACACAGAUGAAGAGGUUCAUUUCUGCAGGUCAAAUUUGAACAAAGAAUAUAAUAUUAAUGUGAUCUUACUCCUGACGCCAGUCCCAGGACCCAACCCAUUUACAGACCUGGAGCGGAACCGGAGCAGAUCCUCAGCCACUGGUUUUCAUCCCCAGUCGCAAACUUUCCCACCACAGAUGGAAGGCUCAAUGGUCUAUAAUUAUCGGGACUAUCCCUACUACCCUUUUUGUACAAGGGGACAACAUUUGCCUCCCUCCAGUCCUCCGGUACCAUUCCCGUGGACAAUAAGGACAUAAUGAUCCUAGCCAGAGGCUCAGCAAUCUAUCUCCUCGCCUCGGAUGCAGAACCGGAAAGUGGCAGAGGGAGUUCAACACAGCUGAAGAAGUUCAUUUCUGCAGGUCAAAUUUGAACACAGAAUAUAAUAUUAAUGGGACAUUACUCCUGACAUUGGUCCCAAGACCCAGCCUGUUUACAGAACCGGAGCGGAACUGGAGCAGAUUCUUUGACACUUGUUUUCAUCGCAAAUCCAGAAGACAGUUUAACGUUUUUUCGUGAAUUUAUUCUGAGUGAAGGUGUGGAGAUGGGAGUUGGUCUCCGCGUUGUAAAAUGAAUCUGUCCCGGACUCGUAACUGAGAUAAAUUCCCACCCUCCCGGGGUUGGGACAGGCAGCGAGUCGGGGUUCAGGGGAGGUGGCAACACUGAACAAAUCAUAAUUCAAGUCCGAUAACCCCUGUCCGAUGACCCAGAUCAGCCAGAUAGUGGCGUCUGUGUCCACAGGACACUCGAAGCUGCUGCGUCGGUUGAGAGUGUUGUUAAGAAGCCGUAUGGCGUACUGGGCUUCAUCAACUGUGGGAUUGAUUUCAAGAGCUGUGAGGUAAUGUUACAGAGGAACAACGCCUUAGUUAGACCACACCUGGAGUACUGUGUCCAAUUCUGGUUACCUCACUACGGGAAGGAUGUGGAUACUAUACAGCGAGUGCAGAGGAGAUUUACAAGGGUGUUGCCUGGAUUAAAGAGCAUGCCUUAUGAAAACAGGCAGAGUGAACUUGGCCUUUACUCCUUGGAGUGCCGGAGGGUGAGGGAUGACCUGAUACACGUGUAUAAAAUGAUAAGAGGCACUGAUCGUGUGGAUUGCCAGAGGCUAUUUCCCAGGGAUGAAAUGGCUAACACGUGGGGGCACAGUUUUAAGGUGCUUGGAAGUAGGUACAGAGGGGGUUUCAGAGGUAAGUGUUUCACACAGAAAGUGGUGGUGCAUGGAAUGCAUGGCGAAGGUGGCAGAGGUGGAUAGAACAGGGCCUUUUAAGAGACUCUUAGUUAGGUACAUGGAGCUUAGAAAAAUAGAGGGCUAUGCGGUAGGGAAGUUCUUGACAGUUUCUAGAGUAUGUGACAUGGUCAGCACAUCAUUGAGGGCCGAAAGGCCUGUAAUGUGGUGUAGAAAUUUUGUUCACUGCCAACGGCGAGAUACCGAACAGUGUUGCAGAGAGACAGUUCUUGGGAUGCAAGUUCACAGCUCGUUGGAUGUGGCGAAACAGGUCGAUUAGGUGGUGAAGGAGGCUUAUAGAAUACCGGCUUUUAUUCGUGAAGCGCUGAGUUCAAAAUCCAGGAGGUUAUAUUGUAAUUUAUAACACUCUGGUCAAACCAUGUCCGGAGUAUUUAUCUGAGGCUUCUGUGGUGCAUAUCUGGACAGUUCGGACGCAACAUCCAUGGUCGACCCUCUCCGACGGAGGCCUCACAAACUCACACUGAGAAAUAUACAAAUAACCAAUGUCCCAGCAUCCGACCCUGCGGUACAGCACUUGUUCCAAAUUUCCCUCAGAACAGAGAUGAGGAGGAAUUUAUUCAGAGUGGGGUGGUGAAUGUGAGGCAUUAAUUGCCCUAAUUCCUGCUGUCGGUAGUUGCCGGCCUCUGCGUCCAGAACGACAGGCGUGGUUCUCCUCCGACAUCACGGUGAAUCUGUUCCAACAGAUGUUUGUGAUGGCUGAGGAAUAGUGUUGACGCAGGGAGCGAGUGAGAAGCUGAGACAUUAGGACUACAACACCCAGUAGGCUCCGCGGCCCCGUAUGUUCGGCAGCUGAAGCUGACUGAAGCUGUAGUUCCUAUGAAAAGAGAGCGUUUGUGACUAUUCUUCAUUGAACAAUUUGUGUCAUUUGUCACUCUUUACGUAACCCGACAAUUACAUCGUGACAAUGGGGCCUGUGGUGACGGAGGGGAGAAUCGGUGGUGCAUCACGCUCAGUUUUGGGGUCAGUGCACAGUCACAAUCGAGUCUCCUUUUGACACCCGUUCUCCACGGCCGGCAACAAAAGUCGUGAAUCUUCACUGCGAAUUCCAGGUUAAUCCCGUCCUUUCCGAGGCGGCCGGCCAGAGUUGCACAGUUCUCCAGCCGUGGUCUCACCAACAUAGAACAAUGACAGCAGGGGAACAGGCCCUUCUGCUCACUGUGUUGUUCUGGACCAAUUGAACUGGUCACUUUAUGUCUCAGUAAACCAGUCCCCUCUGCCUACACAGGGUCCACUUCCCUCCAUUCUCCAACCAUUCACGUGGUAUCUAAAAGCCUCUAUCACAUCUGCCUCCACCACCACCCCCGGAAUUCCUUCCAGACACCAUCACUAUGAGUCCGAAAACACAGUUGCAACACACAUCGACUUUAAACAUUCAGAGGCACGUUUAACAUUACAGUCUAAUAUAAGGUGUUUGUAUUACAGCAGCAGUGUCAUGAAAAGAGAGAAAAAUGCACUAAAUUACAAAAUACACAAACAUCGCAAAAAGGACCCGUGAAGUACUGUUCCCCGUUUCUGCUGAAGUGCGUUUCGUCUGCGAGUAGACAUUUCCUACUUCGAAACACAAUACCGGGCGGCCAGUGUGUCUGUGCUUCUCAGGUACCUAUAAACUUCUGUAGGGCUUCCCACAGCCUCUCCCGAACAGAGCAAAUUCCCCUGGAUUGUCUAGUCUUAUUUUAUCCAGGCAGCAUCUUGUUAUCGUGUUCUAAUUACCAUCCAAAUCUUCUGCAUUAUUCCAGUAUUAAAAUGCAACAUAACUGCCUGACACUGGAACCACUAUCUGGGAGAUAUGAACUCGUAUUCCCUCUGUAGAUUAGCCCAUGAAUACAGAAGCAAAGGGAUAGCGUUGAGCCUUUAUCAGUCACUAUUCAUGCUGUACUUGGAGUAUCGUCAACAUUUUUGUGCCCCGUAUCUCAGAAAGGAAGUGUUGUCCUCGGAGAGAGUUCAGAGGAAUUUCACCAGGAUGAUUCCGGGAAUUAACGGGUUAACAUACGAGAAGCAUUUGACAGCAUUGCGCCUGUACUGACUGGAAUUCAGAAGAACGCGGGGCGAUCUCAUUGAAACCUACCGAGUGUUGAAUGAACAGAUCGGGUUGAUGUGGAGGGGAUGUUUCCUCUGGUGAGCGUAUCCAGCACUAGAGGGCGCAGUCUCAAAAUUGAGGCGCAACCUUUCAGUACUUUCCUUGUUUUUACUGACUCUGUCUCAGGAGACAGCUUAUCCACUGAUGUCUACUGCAAACCCACGGACUCUCAAAGCUGCCAGGAUUAUAACUAUUCGAAUCCUGUUAUCUGUAAAAUCGCGAUGCAUUUCUCUCAGUUCCACAGUCUCCAGCACAUCUGAUGUCAGGAUGAGACUUUUCAUUCUGGAGCGAAGGAGAUGGCCUCCUUUUUCAAGAAAGAGUCUCCCCUUCCUCCACCAUCAACGCUGCCCUCAACCGCAUCUCUUCCAUAUCGUGCACGUCCGCUCUUACCCCAUCCUCCCGCCACCCUAACCGGGAUAGGUUUCACCACCCCAACAGCCUUCGCCACCAGCACAUACAUUUUGGAUUGGACAGUUUAAUAAUGUUUAAGGAUGUUGUCAUGUUUGAGAAUUUGUUAGCUCAUCAGGAUAUUAAGGAAAGUUAUUAUGAUAUGUGGACCAUUCAUCAUUAACCAUGUUAAUCAUUUUAACCUUUUUUGCAGAAGGAUCGAAAGAUGAUUUAACUGGGAAUGUUGGUGGAGUAAUUGCAGUAAAGGAUAGGGAAAUGACUUACCUACCAUUUAUAAAAACAUACGGCAAAUUGGUUUCCAUCUGUUUUCGGCUUAGAGUGGGUGAAAGAAAUUUGCCCAGAUAAAUUUGUAAUUUGUUCAGAUUCCUUUUCGGUUUUGAUGUGUCUUAAAACAUGUGACUUCAGUAAUAGAUCAGAAUUACUGUUGGAAACUCAUCAAUCAUUAUUUCCUAUUCAAAGUGCAAACACGGGGAAAUCUGCAGAUGCUGGAAAUUCAAGUAACACACUCAAAAUGCUGGUGGAACACAGCAGGCCAGGCAGCAUCUAUAGGGAGAAGCACUGCCGACAUUUCAGGCCGGGACCCUUCGUCAGGACUAAUUGAAUGUGAAGUUAGCCUUUCAGUUUAGAGAGGUAUUAGAGGCGUUUAGGGGAAUGAGCGGGUUGACUGUUUACUUACCAAAGCUGUUAAAAGUUUAACUGUUGUUAAAGAGCUUCCACCUAGGAAAUCAGCAGGUAAGGGUUUUUUAGUGUUAAUAAUUGUGGGCUUAUGGCAAGACUGGUGGGAUAAUGGUCACAAGGGGAGAUGCCAUUACAGAAUACAUAGAAGUUUGGAUUUAUGGGAGAUGGGAAUCGUCUUCCAAUUGACAAUACUAUUCCUCAUGUCGUGUUGGUAAACAUCACUCUGGGCCGUGAACGUUUUGUCAUAAUGAAACAGUUGAACACAUUUUAAUUCAGUGAAAAGAGUAUCAGAAAGAAAAAUCAAAUGGAGGCUUCAUUACAAUCCUCGGGGGUUGUUAGAUUUUAUUUAAAAACUUUCUGAAGUAAUGGGAGUGACUUUAAUUUAAUUCACAAUGUUCUGUUUCAUUCCGUACGAUCUCUGGGACUUUGGGGUAAUUUACCUUUAAAAUGGAAAAACAAUGGAAGCGGCCAGGGUUUUAUUUCCCAAUUCUCCGCACCACAAUCCAGUCCAAUUGGUGGCGGGAUCAACGCCUUGAAGUGGGAAUGUCGACCAUCGUUUAGGCAAAUCCCGCCCUUUUCCUUCACGUUGGCCAAUCAUUCAAGGGACAGCGGAGACUGCUGUGAUAAUAUUGGAAUAGCCAACUAGCAUCGUAUUAUACGCCGCCGACAAGGUGCAACGUCGGACAGUGAGGAUGGUAGAAGGGAAUGGGAAUAGAUGCAAAUAUCUACUGACCAAUGGGUUUGCGCCUUCUGGAGCAGUUCUCCGACUGAUAUCUUCCCGGUCCAAUGAGAUACUGAUCCUCCGGGACGGUGCUUUGCCCCAUCCCACACACAAGCUAUGCUAAUAUCCCACAGCUGCCGGACGAUGGGUUAAUCGGCCUGGGAAUAACACCUGGGAAAUCAGGUGGUGAACGUGAGGGGCUGGACACGGACUGGAAACACUGCGGCCGUUUCCGGUUUGUACUCAGGACGCCGCUUUAUUGAGGAACUGAAGCACCGAGGUGACGGGAUAUUUCACCGCGCUGAUCACCUGUGCCCUGAAUUUUGACUGAGUCACCGCGUAAAUAAAUGUGUUCGUGCAGCAGCUGAAAUUCCUCAGCAAAACACCGGCGUAGGUAAAGAUCCAUUCAGAGUCAUUGAAAUUGUAUCCUUUUCCUGAGACAUGAUAAUAUAUGAAAUUUACAACCAGUGUCAUCCACAGAAGGAUGAAGCUGCCGGAGAGAGUGAAGAGUAAAACCACAGACCUCCUCCUGCUCUCCAUCUCCGGGUCACUUCGGUUCUCCCCCUUGCUCUGACCCUUCAGCCCCUUACGGACCCGACUGGCCACUAAAAUGUGUCUGACUGUCAGAGCGUUGAGCAGCAGUAUCCCACCGAAAGGGAGGAAUGGAGUUGAAACCGUAUCGAGCCAGUCAUAUCCAACCCACCCGGGGUCAGUGAAAUAUUUGUCCAUGAUCAUACAGAACCACGGUACAUUGUCGAUGAUCACUGCGGGUUCCAGUGUGAAGUAUCGGGGAACGUUUCUCAGACAGGUCAGUACGCCGGUUGUUGUUAGAACCACAGCCGCAGUUUUCCCGGUGCAAUAUUUUGUUUUCAGCUUUUGGCAGCAAAUGGCGAUAAACCGAUCAACGGUGAAAGUGACGGUGAACCAGACUGAACAUUGUGUGGCUGUGAACUUCAAUACAAUGAUAACACUGCACACAGGGGUGAUGCUCAGAAAACUCCACCGGAAGUAAUACCAACUGAUUCGAUACAAAAUAACCUCGGUGAUAAUGGACAGUAGAUCGGCCGCUGUCAUGGCCACCAGGUAGCGAGUGGUGCAGGUAGAGAGGCCGCACUUUCCCCGGGACAGGAUCACAAUCGCCAAUAAAUUCACUAGAGAGAGAGAGGGAGAGAGAGAGAGAGAGAGAGAGAGAGGGAGAGAGAGAGAGAGAGAGAGAGAGGGAGAGAGAGAGAGAGAGAGAGAGAGAGAGAGAGAGAGAGACAGAGAGAGAGAGAGAGAGAACAGACAC